AUGGAGGAGGCGCUGAUCCCCGACGACCGCACCUGGUACCGGUUCCUCCCCAUCCUCGCUUGGAUCGUCGCUGACGCUGAGGAGGCCGGCCACACGCUCGAGCAUGGGGCGGAUGAGCUCGAGCGCGCCGCCGCGGAGGCGAACCGCAUCGCCGACCUGGCCCACGGGGGCUCCGACCGGGCGGUCCUGGUCCUCCUCCGCCGCGACGUCCACCGCGUCCUCAACCUCGAGCGCGACCGGGUCGCUGACCUCCGCCGCGAGGCGCCCGACCUCGCCGCCGCCGCCGAUCCGGGGCCCCCCUAUCGCCCGAACUCUGGCCCUCUGGUCAACGUCGGCCGCGGACUCGAGCUUCUUCUGGGCACCGAGCCUUCUGAGGAGGCGAUACACUCCUCUCUGCGCUGGGAGGACAAUCGUCACGUCUGGUAUCCGGAGUGGCUCGUCGGCGUGAGGAGGGAGGUGAGGCACGCGCUCCGCAGGCUGAACCGCGCGCGGGCCGAGCUAGAGCAUGUUCCCCUUGCAGUGGCCGAUUUUCUUGCGGUGGCUACUUCGCCGGAGGGAGCUGCCACCGCCGUCGAGGCAUGUGAGGCGAACGCCGAUGGGUAUGCCACCGAGGCUCAGCACGCCCGUCGGGCCGUGGCGAAUCUGGACAACGUCCUCAACAUCCUGCAAGGGCGGGAUGACAUUCUUCAUGUUCCACCACCGGGCCGCGUCAGAUACUUCUUCGGCUACGCCGACAACGCAGGGAAAAUGUUGCUUGUACAUUACCUGAGAAGGCCAAGCAUAGAUGCGUUCAAGAUAAGGAUGGCAGGUUACAUCGGGCUAAUAUUUUUUUUGGAGCACAAAUCAUCUUGGAUUGACUGUAAACCUUGUGCUCUAGAUGCCAGGGAGCUUCGGAAAAAUUAUACUCAAUCCAAACAGGGACAUAGACUGAGUUUGGCACUGAACUCGAUUAUGACAUAG
rnacentral:rRNA from 1 species